GUGGACUGGGAGAGGCAGACACAACCUCAAUCUCUGUGGGCACCAUUUAAUCAGCUGUCAGUGUGACUAGAAUAAAGCAGGCAGAAGAAUGUGGAAGGCACCAGACUAGCUGAGUCUUCUGGUCUUCAUCUUUCUCCUGUGCUGGAUGCUUCCUGCCCUUGAACAUCAGACUCCAAGUUCUUCAGCUUUUGGACUCUUGGACUUAACACCAGUGGUUUGCCAGGGGCACUUGGGCCUUUGGCCACAGACUGAAGGCUGCACUGUCAGCUUCUCUACUUUUGAGGUUUUGGGACUUGGACUGGCUUCCUUGCUCCUCAGCUUGCAGAUGGCCUAUUGUGGGACUUCAUCUUGUGACUGUGGUUCACAUGCACCAAGGGAAAGCCAUGUUAAGACAGAAUGAGAUGGCAGCCAUCUGCAAGCCAAGAAGAAAGCCCUUGCCAGAGACUGAAUCUGCCAGAACCUUGAUCUUGGACUUUCAACCCCUGGAUUUGUGGGAAAAUAAACUUCUGUUGUUUAAGCCAAAAAAAAAAAAAAAAGAAAGAAAACUUUAAUUAGGAUUAAUUAAUACAAAUAUGAAGAAAAGCAGAGAAGAAAAGCUAAGCCCAUUGGAAGUUUCCAUGCAAUUCUCAAGGCCACACGUAGAAAACAGGAUGAAUAGUAACUGAAAGAGUAGGCAAGAAUGAAAGACCCUUAAUAACUUCUGGCUCCCCAUCCUGCCUCAUUCCAGACAACUGAGUCAGCUUAUAUCCAUCUGCAGACAAGGCCAAGCCAUGCCCAUAUAUUCUAAGACUGGGUCUGGUUCUGGGCAAGAGAUGUACCUCAAAAGUUGCUGCAGUAGAGAGCAAUUAGCUGAAGCUGCCUUGUUGCUGGCACCUGCUUCCAAGUCUCUCUGUCUCAGUUCUUUAACUAGGAAAAAGGUAAUGAUAAUCCCCGUCUCAUUAGUAUUGUAAACUUUAAAUGAGCUGAUCCAUGUAAAGAGCUUAGAAUUGUGUGAGGCACAUAGCAAGUGCUUAUUAAAUAAUCACUCUUGUCAUCAUCUUCCUCGUUGUAUAGAUUAAGGAACAGACACUAAGAAGUUGCUUUUCGCAGGCCACUUGCCUGUGGCAGCACAAGGCAAAGAUCCUGUAUCAAAAUUCUGAAUGAAUGUUCUUUAUAACUUACAAUGUAUAGUAGGUAAUUUCAUAAGGUCCCACAUACACUUAAAUAUUUCUCCCUACAACUGCAUCACAGUGACUGAGAUCUACCUUUUUCAAUAAUCCUUUUUAAGAGUUUUCUAGCGAUAACUUUGCUAAUGAAGUUUGCUUCUCAAGAGAAGGAAUGCAUUAGAGAACUAGUAGAAGCAGAAAUGGGCUUCCUGUGAUGACUAAACCAUAAUCACACAUCACCACUCUAAAUAAAGUACAGGGUUUGAAUGAACAGAACAGAGCAAGGUACAAAUCUGAAGCAGAAGGAAAAGGGAUGGGCUUAGUGUAGGCAUUGGCCAGAGGUUGGGGACAGGCAGCUGGGAUAGAAGGGCAAAAGCUUUCCAAAAGAGUUCAGAGGAACUCAUUCACAAACACCAUGCUCUUAGUGUGGGGUUUCAUCCAUGAAACUGAGCCUGUAACUUAGAUCUGAUCAUUCAUUAUUUUCUGGAAGCAUAAGAGAAACCCACACCCAGAACUCAGUAAUGUGUAUAUGUUGCUGAGAUGAUUUCUAAGCCAAAUCAGUCUCCUUCAGCUCCA
rnacentral:lncRNA from 1 species